AAAAACUCCGGUGGUAUGAGAUGGACCCGCGUCUGAUUAGCUAGUUGGUGAGGUAACGGCCCACCAAGGCGACGAUCAGUAGCCGGCCUGAGAGGGCGACCGGCCACAUUGGGACUGAGACACGGCCCAAACUCCUACGGGAGGCAGCAGUGGGGAAUAUUGCACAAUGGGGGAAACCCUGAUGCAGCGACGCCGCGUGAGUGAAGAAGUAUUUCGGUAUGUAAAGCUCUAUCAGCAGGGAAGAAAAAAGACGGUACCUGACUAAGAAGCCCCGGCUAACUACGUGCCAGCAGCCGCGGUAAUACGUAGGGGGCAAGCGUUAUCCAGAUUUACUGGGUGUAAAGGGAGCGUAGACGGCUGUGCAAGUCUGAAGUGAAAGCCCAGGGCUCAACCCUGGGACUGCUUUGGAAACUGUGGAGCUAGAGUGCUGGAGAGGUAAGUGGAAUUCCUAGUGUAGCGGUGAAAUGCGUAGAUAUUAGGAGGAACACCAGUGGCGAAGGCGGCUUACUGGACAGUAACUGACGUUGAGGCUCGAAAGCGUGGGGAGCAAACAGGAUUAGAUACCCUGGUAGUCCACGCGGUAAACGAUGAAUACUAGGUGUUGGAGAGCAAAGCCUUUCGGUGCC
rnacentral:rRNA from 1 species